AUUGAACGCUGGCGGCAGGCCUAACACAUGCAAGUCGAACGAGUGGCGGACGGGUGAGUAAUGUCUGGGAAACUGCCUGAUGGGGGGGGAUAACUACUGGAAACGGUAGCUAAUACCGCAUACCAUCAGAUGUGCCCAGAUGGGAAUAGCUAGUUGGUGGGGUAACGGCUCACCAAGGCGACGAUCCCUAGCUGGUCUGAGAGGCGGACCAGCCAAACUGGAUCUGAGACAGGGUCCAGACUCCUAGGGGAGGCAGAAGUGGGGAAUAUUGCACAAUGGGGGCAAUCCUGAGGCAGCCAGGCCGCGGGUAGGAAGAAGGCCUUCGGGUUGUAAAGUACUUUCAGCGGGGAGGCGUUACCCGCAGAAGAAGCCCCGGCUAACUCCGUGCCAGCAGCCGCGGUAAUUC
rnacentral:rRNA from 1 species